GGACGUUCAACAUGGCACCUCAUGACAAAGAACUCUCUGAGGAUCUGAAAACAAGAAUUGUUGCUCUACAUAAAGAUGGCCUAAGCUAUAAGAAGAUUGCCAAGACACUGAAACUAAGCGGCAGCACAGUGGGCAAAACCCAGUGGCGUAGCAGGGGGAGGGGGGGGCGGUCUGACCCGCUCCCUCCUUGUAGCAUGGCCGAGCUCUGCUCCGG